CUUGUAUUCAACCUGAACUCAGCAAGAGAGAGCCCCCCUCUCAGGACGCCUCAUACAGUGGAUUUGGGUACCAUAACUCUGGCAGAAGAGAAGGAUGCUAGCAGAACUACUGGUUGUAACCCACUGGGAAUUCCUCCUGUGUAGGCCUCAAGAUAGAGAGAUGUGCAAGAGAGCAACAGUACUCUUGUAUAACUCCUGUUCAUUUCACCGAAUGAAGAUAGAAGAAUAGUGGCUUCCACGGCCACCCAAUCAACCUAUGUCUGAGGUGAAUUUAAACCUGGGAACAUUUUGUCUCACCACACACACUCUUAGCCACCAUGUGAAACCAGCUCGCAGGUAGUUUACCCAUCAAGAAUAACUGUUUGAUCUUGCUGGAUGCCACCAUUUUGUGUCAGCAACUGGACCCCAA